rnacentral:rRNA from 1 species
GUCCACGCCGUAAACGAUGGGCACUAGGUGUUGCGGGUAUUGACCCCUGCAGUGCCGAAGCUAACGCAUUAAGUGCCCCGCCUGGGGAGUACGGUCGCAAGACUAAAACUCAAAGGAAUUGACGGGGGCCCCGCACAAGCGGUGGAGCAUGUGGUUUAAUUCGACGCAACGCGAAGAACCUUACCUGGGCUUGACAUCCCGAUCGUACCUGCUGGAAACAGUGGGGUCAGUUCGGCUGGAUCGGAGACAGGUGCUGCAUGGCUGUCGU